rnacentral:rRNA from 1 species
UACGGGGGGGGCAAGCGUUGUUCGGAAUUACUGGGCGUAAAGGGCUCGCAGGCGGCCAACUAAGUCAGACGUGAAAUCCCCAGGCUCAACCUGGGAACUGCGUCUGAUACUGGAUGGCUUGAAUUCGGGAGAGGGAUGCAGAAUUCCAGGUGUAGCGGUGAAAUGCGUAGAUAUCUGGAGGAAUACCGGUGGCGAAGGCGGCAUCCUGGACCGAUAUUGACGCUGAUGAGCGAAAGCUAGGGGAGCAAACGGG